rnacentral:lncRNA from 1 species
ACAUGUUUUUAGGUCGGGAGUGUAUACAAAUCCUUUGGGACAGGUACAAGUGAAACUUCCAGGAGUAUUUCUGCACUGCCCAUUGUCACAAAGCAGCGUGUUCAGCACACAUUCAUCAAUAUCAAUGCAAUUUUUGCCAGUUGAAUCCACUUCAUACCCAGGGUUACAAAUACAUUUGUACGUUCCAUGCAGAUUCUCACACCUUCCAUUGGGACAGAGAUCAGGAUCCAGUAAGCACUCAUUAAUGUCAUUUCCUCCUGCAGUCAUACCAGAUCCACUACUGCAUAGAGCCUGAUAUUCAGCUGAAUUUUGUGCUGGACAGGGCUGACAAGGCUCCCCAAAGGCAUAGUCAGUGCUGGCACAGCAGCACUCUGAUUUUGUAACUGCACCGGUUAAUGGUCUCACACAUUGUCCUCUCUUGUAGCCACCAUAGCACGUGCUUCGCAUAUGAGUAUCAACACACACACGUCCAUCGAGUCCUACUGCAAGGCCAGGGAAGCAUUCACAUCUGAAAGAGCCAUCAGUGUUCACGCAGCGUCCGUUCAUGCAUAUUCCAGCUGUCUCACACUCAUCAAUGUCUCUGCAAUAGCGUCCAUCAGAUGCCAGCUGGAACCCCGGUUUACAAAUACAUUUAAAACUGCCAUCUUCAUUGAUGCACAUCCCGUUCAGGCACAUAUUCCUUAUGUUGCAUUCGUCCAUAUCUUCACAGUUUUUCCCAUCAGCUGCCACUUGAAAGCCAGCGUUGCACACACAGUGAAAACUGCCAUCUGUAUUUAUGCAUCGUCCAUUAUUACAGAUACGGCCAUUCUGUAAACAUUCAUCAAUGUCUCGGCACUCUGUUCUAGUUGGUGUACUCUGAUACCCUAUUCGACACUGGCACAUGUAGGAUCCCUGGGUGUUCACACAGUCUCCACUGAUACAUGGAUUCUUCUCACAUUCAUCAACAUCAAUACAUUCCCCUCUAACGUCCAGCUGGAAUCCCUUGUUGCACUUGCAGCGGUAGCUCCCAGGAGUGGGAAUACAAUGUCCAUUAAGGCAGAGAUGCCGGAACAGCUGGCAAUAGUCAGUGAAGUUCACCGGCAAGAUCACAUGAGGUGGUGGAGCCCGAGAUGGAUAGACAAUUUCUGGCUGUUGAGGGACUAGAGGAGGGUAAGGACCAGGAAGAAGGGGUGGAGGGAUGACUUCAGGACGGCCUGGAG